UCUCACACUGGGACUGAGACACGGCCCAGACUCCUACGGGAGGCAGCAGUGGGGAAUUUUGGACAAUGGGCGAAAGCCUGAUCCAGCAAUGCCGCGUGUGUGAAGAAGGCCUUCGGGUUGUAAAGCACUUUUGUCCGGAAAGAAAUCCUUGGCUCUAAUACAGUCGGGGGAUGACGGUACCGGAAGAAUAAGCACCGGCUAACUACGUGCCAGCAGCCGCGGUAAUACAAA
rnacentral:rRNA from 1 species